rnacentral:rRNA from 1 species
GACGAACGCUGGCUGCGUGCUUAACACAUGCAAGUCGAACGCUGAAGCCUGGUGCUUGCACCGGGUGGAUGAGUGGCGAACGGGUGAGUAACACGUGAGUAACCUGCCCCUGACUUCGGGAUAAGCCCGGGAAACUGGGUCUAAUACCGGAUACGACUGCCGGACGCAUGUCUGGUGGUGGAAAGUUUUUUCGGUUGGGGAUGGGCUCGCGGCCUAUCAGUUUGUUGGUGAGGUAAUGGCUCACCAAGACGACGACGGGUAGCCGGCCUGAGCGGGCGACCGGCCACACUGGGACUGAGACACGGCCCAGACUCCUACGGGAGGCAGCAGUGGGGAAUAUUGCACAAUGGGGGAAACCCUGAUGCAGCGACGCAGCGUGCGGGAUGACGGCCUUCGGGUUGUAAACCGCUUUCAGCAGGGAAGAAGCGCAAGUGACGGUACCUGCAGAAGAAGUACCGGCUAACUACGUGCCAGCCGCCGCGGUAAGAC